CACGUCAGCGCGAGAUGCUGACGUGGAAGGAAAUCGCGUCCUUGAGAGUGCGAUUUCCUUCCACUUCAGCAUCUCGCGCUGACGUAG
rfam:Gossypium raimondii chromosome 6, whole genome shotgun sequence.